rnacentral:lncRNA from 1 species
AAUCUGGUAACAGUGAGAUAAUAGUAGAAAUCUGGUAUUUAGCUAAAAUACAACUAGAUAAACAGAUAACUAGUCGAGUGAGCUAAAACGCAUUGCUGGGUGUGGAUUUUCUUCAGGAUUCUUCUUCCUAGAGCUCCAACUUCUGAAUACUGAAGGCCAACAUCUACAAAUAAUAAAUUAAGAUAAGUUAGAAACAUAAUAAAGUGAAUCCAUGAAUAUAAAAUUCUCAUAACAAUGAAAAAUUGCUGCAAAACUUUAGAUUUAACAGGAAACGAUGCAUAUGACAUUCUCAUAAUAGCGAAAACACAAAUAUAUUUUGUAAAUGAUAAGUACCAGCACAGUGCAAGUUAACACAACAGAUGGACAGUACAAGCUGCAAGCAAAUGAUUUUCCACUUUAGAACAGGGCACAUGCAUCAAUUUUUAUAGUCAGGAACAAAGAAGACAAUGGUGGAAGAGGCCAAAGAGAUGAAAUACCCUGGGGGGCCGAAGAUGGUGAAAUGAUGGUCUGCUUGUUCUUAGACAGCUCAAGGAGCACCUGAUAUCAAAAAAUAGGCGUUUAAAGGGGAAAAUAGCCCGAUUGUAGGCUCCAAUCAGCCUGCAUACAACAAGUAAUAAAACUGUUAGGAGAGAGUAUACAGUUACCAGCAGCAUGCAUAAAACAACUUGGAUGUUUUAAUAUUUAUUAAAAAUGACAGGCCAGGUUUCAAGUAUAAACGACUAAUGGAGCAUGCAACAAAUGUAUUUGAUACCAACUUAACUAAUUCCACAUGAAUAUUGUACGUUCCAAUAUACACAAUCACUCCAAGAUUAAGCUUAUUCAGCCAAUAAAAUAAAGAGGAUCACCACCAUAAUGGACCAAUGGGUACAAAUCGACCCAAAAAAUCCCAGAGAAGCUAAAGCACAAAAAUAAUCAACACUCCCCAGAAGCAUGCUGAAUUAAUCAUUUAAUCCCAACAUCUAGGUACCACACUACAUAAUAUCACACAAUUAAAGAAGAAUGUUCGACAGUUCAAGACAUUCAGGAAAAUAAAUAAGAACGGGAUUGCACAGGCGAACUUGUACUAUGCAUAAAUGGCAAUCUAACUCGAAACAAGGAACAAAUUUUCCCCAUGCAUGUCCCUGUACAGCCUAUACAACAUUUCUACAUAUGCUUCAAGAGGGCGGACAAACCCAGCUUGAUUUGGUACAUCAACCCAUAUAGACACAUAUCAUGUUGAAUAAGAAAAGCAUGCAUGGUACACUCAUCCUAAUUAACGUGGUAGUAGCACAUUCUCAUAUGAAUGGAACAAGUAGUCGCACAGCUUGAUGAAUGGAUUAAAACUGAGACGUUUAAUUAUCUGCAGAAUUGAAAUUGUUCAAAACAUGCAGUUGUACUAUCGGAAGUGUAUCUGCAUCAGACCUUAGCAAUCAAAAAUGAUAAAUGCAGAAGCAAAACGAAAGUAAUAUUCUUGAUCUAUAUAUACAGCUAAAAGGAGUACAUGAAAUGC